rfam:Brassica napus, WGS project CCCW01000000 data, contig: 15966
AGCAUGAUGAUGAGAAACAAAUAGCCUCUGAAAUUAAAAUUCAUGUGGAUUAUAUUACAUACCUUCAAAGUUCUCUGAAUUGCU